GUCUGCAGAAAUCUAAAAGCCACCCAGGCCACCAACUUAAUUAUAUCCAGGAUGCGCACCAGAGGUGAAAAGCCUCCUAGAACUGUUUUUCAAUCAUCAUCUCUCCAACUGAGCUGGACUAGUGACACUAAAACCAGCAAUUAAAAGCCUCUCAGAUUCAAAUGCAUCCUGUUAAAGAGCCAUGGGUGAUUAGAUCAUAAAUCUGCAUGACCUUGAAGAUGAUGAAGGAAAUACAGCCUAAUCCAAGCAUGAUGACUUUCCAUUAAUCUGUGAUGUGGUUUUAUUUCUUUAUUAUGAGCUAAAUGUGUAAACGCCUAAGAAUUAGCAAAGCAAUUUUGGCACAAUUUAAUUCUCAGGGCUCCCUCUGCUGGUAGUGAAAGAUGACAAAUUUACAGAGAGCUUAAGAAUGAGGGCAAUACAAUUAUUACCACAAUUUUGCCAUUUAUAUUAGAUCUAAAU
rnacentral:lncRNA from 1 species